rnacentral:misc_RNA from 1 species
AACCCCCCCCCCCCCCCCCCAACAACCUUCUUUCCUCUUUUACUUUCUUUUUCAUAACAUCAACAAAUAAAUGAUAUGCAGUUUUUUUCCUUUUUAUACUUUUCAAAGUGUUGAUAUUGACUUUCUUUAGGUGCUCAUACAACAUUUUAUUUUCUGAUGUUAUAUUGAUGUUCAAUAUCACAAUAUCAAACAGUUGAGUGACUCAAUAAAACAUACCUUUAGUUUGAGGCUCAAUAUCCAAAAGAAAAAAGCAUAGUUCAAGAGCUCUUUAAUUUAGUCAAAUUUGAAAAUACUAGACAACUCAGCAAUUUUGAGACAGUUAUAUACUUGUAUUCAUGGUUUCAAAUAACAGGUUUCAGAUAACAAAAUUUUAAAAAGUCAUUGCAUUAUUAACUAUCACAUUAUGAUGAUUUUCAAAUCAUAGGUAAUAUGGCACGACACGAUCUUAGUACUGUUUCAGAUCAUUAUAGGUCAUGCAAUCCAUUAUGUAACAAUUAUUU